rnacentral:rRNA from 1 species
AAUUUUGGACAAUGGGCGCAAGCCUGAUCCAGCAAUGCCGCGUGCAGGAUGAAGGCCUUCGGGUUGUAAACUGCUUUUGUACGGAACGAAAAGCCCUGGGUUAAUACCCUGGGGUCAUGACGGUACCGUAAGAAUAAGCACCGGCUAACUACGUGCCAGCAGCCGCGGUAAUACGUAGGGUGCAAGCGUUAAUCGGAAUUACUGGGCGUAAAGCGCGCGUAGGUGGUUCGUUAAGUUGGAAGUGAAAGCCCCGGGCUCAACCUGGGAAUUGCCAUUGUGACUGCAAGGCUGGAGUGCGGCAGAGGGGGAUGGAAUUCCGCGUGUAGCAGUGAAAUGCGUAGAUAUGCGGAGGAACACCGAUGGCGAAGGCAAUCCCCUGGGCCUGCACUGACGCUCAUGCGCGAAAGCGUGGGUAGCAAACAGG